AUAUUGGUGGUUCAGUGGUAGAAUUUUUGUCUUCCAAGCAGGAGACCUGGGUUCGAUUCCCAACUAAUACU
rnacentral:tRNA from 1 species